CUGGGAACGGCUGGAGAACGCAGUGGUGGGACUGGAAAAGAGCUCUGCCCCUUACUGAGGGGCAUCUUUACUAUCUCAGGCUGAUAUUGUACAGUUAUGUGAUUAACUGGAAGCUUAUGUUUAGAAAUAGAGAAGUGCCAAGAUUUCAGACUUGGAGCAGAAGAACUUGAACCUUGAAAUGAAAUGAACUUGGAUUUUCAGUGAAGGUGUUACAGUGAAGACUUAAGUUCUUGAGUCUGUCCCCAACUGUUGCAGUCUCACUUUGGUGUCUGCACUGAGUUUGUGACCUGGUGCCAAGUAAUCCUCUCUUCAGGAUAAAGUAAUUACC